CAUCUAUGGGUAGGUUCAUUAACCAAUUGUUUCUUCAAACAACUUCUAGUAAUUUAAUUUUACCUCAGAACCCUAAUCAGUAGGCUUUGGCCUCCACUGUAAGGAUUCGGUUAGGUCCAACUAUUAACAUGACCAUACUUGGUGCAUCUAACCAAUGAAUGAUUAAGCCCAACUUUGGUUGGCCAACUUAACCACCAUUAGAGAGACACUUUCAAGUCGUCAUAUGAUGAGUGAUAAUUUCAUUAGUCUAUAAG
rnacentral:lncRNA from 1 species